UGGAUCAAAUUGAUCUCAAAUGGCAAUCUUCUACACAAGUAAAUGAUAGAAAUUCCAGCGGUGGUAAACGGCAACACUUGGGUUAUUUCUUGAAAACCAGAGGCUGAUACUUGGUACUUAAUAAAUUUCUCUUAAACUGAAGCAAGAAGUUCAUUGCUGUAAGCUUUUCAUCGACAGACUGACCGAAUCCAGCUGUGGGUUCAUUUGAUUCAAUUAACUUACCAAAAUCAUGGUCUUGAAAUUCCCUACCAUUUCGUCAUGUAAACCACCUCCAAUCUCUAUUGUAUCUGGAUUUUGUAAUCGAGCUGUAUCAAGUUUCAUCGGUGAGAUUUCAUGUUAUGAUAAAAUUUUUAUAGGAUAACAGAGAGUUGUUGUAGAAGCCAUAUGGUUCCUUACAGGAAUGGUAUCUGUCUUAGCUGUUUCAUUUUAUCCGCCAGGAUUCAUCAACAAUGCUACCACAAUGGUGCUGCCUUAGCGCCACUGGAAAUGAAUUUUAAGCUAAGAUGGUCUUGAGAUUUGCAUAUAUAAUUUUGUGAUUUGCUUUCACCCUGCAUGUUUGUGUAAUUCAUGUAUCCGACAGGUGAUGGUGGUGUCUAAGCAAACUGAAUGCUUGUUGUGAUGAUGUAUUAACAAAAUGGCGAAUUUUAACAUAGCUGAAAUCCAAUCUAAAUCUUCA